CGCGAGACACGCGACGCUGCCCCGCGUCUGCGCAUGCGCAGUUCUGACCCAAACAUGGCGACGGAGAGCUGCGAAAAGUGCUGAAUUCUGUCUACAUUUCGACAAAAUCGCGAAGAUCUCUGCAGGACGUUCAUACAGCAGCCGAUGCUCAACAUGGUCCGAACGGCACUGAAAGAUCACAAGGACAGUAAGAAGGACAAAGCGGGCCGGAGCAUGUCUCUCACAGGUCCUGGACCGGUCAAAGUGACCGAGUCGUUCUCAUGGGACGCGUAUUUAACAGAGUCGUCGUCCGUUCCCGCUCUUCCCAGCUGCUUCAGACAGGUGAGACCGGCAGUCAAAUCCCGUCAGGACUCGUCUCUGAGGAAUGAUGGGAUGGCCAUGUUUUUAACUUUUCAUGUGUUCUGUGAAUAAAAAUCACAUUAACCCUUUAAAGCCUACUGUAUCAUAUUUGAUUACAUUUCUAAGGCUCUAAAUGAUCAUCAUGAUCAAACUCUGCUGUCGCACAUAAUCUCCUGCAUGCCUUCUGUCUCUGAUUGAGAGUUUUGAGUUUUUUAUCCAGUCAGAGCUCUCUUUUAGUGUAACUGUUGCUGGAGCUUCACG
rnacentral:lncRNA from 1 species